AACGAGCGCUGGCGGCAGGCUUAACACAUGCAAGUCGAGCGCCCCGCAAGGGGAGCGGCAGACGGGUGAGUAACGCGUGGGAAUCUACCCAUCUCUACGGAAUAACGCAUGGAAACGUGUGCUAAUACCGUAUACGUCCUUCGGGAGAAAGAUUUAUCGGAGAUGGAUGAGCCCGCGUUGGAUUAGCUAGUUGGUGGGGUAAAGGCCUACCAAGGCGACGAUCCGUAGCUGGUCUGAGAGGAUGAUCAGCCACACUGGGACUGAGACACGGCCCAGACUCCUACGGGAGGCAGCAGUGGGGAAUAUUGGACAAUGGGCGCAAGCCUGAUCCAGCCAUGCCGCGUGAGUGAUGAAGGCCCUAGGGUUGUAAAGCUCUUUCACCGGUGAAGAUAAUGACGGUAACCGGAGAAGAAGCCCCGGCUAACUUCGUGCCAGCCGCCGCGGUAACAC
rnacentral:rRNA from 1 species